rnacentral:lncRNA from 10 species
GCGGGAAAAGAUCUUAACCCGUGAUUGCUGGGACUGGCUCAAGCUCCACCAGGAGCCGUCGUUCUUUUACAAAGAGGGGUGGAGGUUCCAGUGGAGGCUGUUGUUGCCUUUUUUUUUUUUUUUUUAAUGAAUGGAGGGCGGCGGCGACUGCUGCAGCUGGGCCAGCUGCGCGGGCUGCACCCCCUCCCAGCCUGCGAGAGGAGGAAGCUAGUAGAAGAUUUGUACCAACAAAACCAAGGAGUAAACAACUUGAGAAUAACUGCAUGAGCUCAGGGCUUGGACUGUCAGAUUCCAUUUCUAAGCUUCCAGAAGAGCGACACAUAGACACUGGGGAAGUCAGAGCCUUUGAACUCCAAUGCCAUCCCCGUCACCCACCUCCACCACCAGCACCACCACCGAAUGGCACUUUGGACAAUUUUUCCCUCUCAUGUGACUUUUGUCAUUUCUUACGUCAGUUGGAGCCAGCACCUCUCAAAUCCAUCUUCUAAAACCCAGAAAAUUGUGUGUAACACAUGAUGACUGAAAGGGAGUAGGCUGACCAGUUAAGAGCCUGCCACUGGAAUGGAAGGCUGUGGGAAGGUGAGGGGACGGUGGACAUCAACCGGGAAGAGCUGAAAGAUGGCGUUACCAGAACAACUUCCAGUAAAAGAAGGCACUGAGGUUUAAGUGCUACGUGGGAGCAGUUGCCGAUUUUUGCAAUGGGAGGCUGCAUAGAUUCAAGUGUGAGAAUUCGAAGAGAUUCAAAGACUAUAUCACCACCAUGGUCUUGCCAGAAUCUGCCCUCUGAGUCAUUUCUUAAUCUACUGAUUAUCUGUAGAACCAGCCUUAUAUAAACAAGGAAGCAUCUAGCAGUUAUGCUGCAUGCUGUGGAAUGAAGAGGCUGCGGCUCACCAAGGCUCACAAAGACCUUACCACGAUCCCGGGUGUUCAGAAGAGGUGUGUGUUUCUUCCUUCCUCCCUCUCGUCACAGUUGCUGUCCCCCAAGGAAGAGGAAAUGACUUGCUUGUGGAAUCCGUUUGCAAGCAAAUCACUUAUUUGGAACCAAAAAUGGGGGAGAAGGAAGUAGGAGCCAUAGACUCAGGGCUUGAUCAGGAUUCCGCAAGCCUUAGAGUUUUCCACUCCCCACAACAUACCUCUCACCUGGGCCAUUUAGAGGCAUCUCCUGCCUCCCACUCUGUCUCUGCCUGAGGUCUACACUCCGCGCCCCCCCACCACCCCCCAGCCCGACCCCCACUUUAACAGGAUUCAACUCCUUUGUCUGACUGUGACCACAGGUGAUGAGAGCUGGGAGGGCGAGUUGGUUGGCCUUUCUUGCAGCUCCCACAUUCUAAAUCAGGAAGCAUGCAGGAGUGGAGAAUGAACAGCAAGAAUAUACACAGCCUGGAACUUCCAGUCUGAAAUGUCUAGGGCAUUUAGUAUGAAAAAUCUGUUCAUAACUGAAAAAAGAAAACACCUAAUGCAGGAACCAGAAUUUUCUGCAACAAGCAACAUUACCAAAAAAAGACCAGCCAAGAGGGCUUGCCAGAAUUGGCUAUAGAGCGUUAUACCAGGUAAACUCGUCAGAUGGAACCAUGUCUUUCCUUUGGGAGAACACUGACAUUUAGGCUUUGGCUUCUUGAGAUUCUGCUGGAGGACUUUUCAGAGGAAUGCAAUGACUCCUUCCUUCCUCCCUGAACUGAAAUCCGGGCUAUUACAAUUCCAAAUGGACACAGAGUCCUGCCAAGUUUAUAGGAAAUUGGAAUGACAGCUUGGGUUCCCACCACUAGGGAUAGCAGAAGCUGAAUGCUCAGAGAAUAAGUAACAUUUCCCUGGUGAUUCCCAGUGUGUCUAUUUUUAUUUUAAGGAGUUCUGUGUUUUCAUUCAGUUUUGUGAAUGGAGGAAUCCAUAUGGAAUUUUCACCAACUCUACUAAAAUAAAAGCAUGUAACUUUUCAGCAGUGUACUGAAAUAUCCACAAAGAUUCAAGGUUAGGUUGGAAAGAAUUCCAGACAUUCACUUUUGAAGACCUGUGAAAAAUCUGCUAACUUCUAAUGGGUACCUUCUGGGCAUAUGACAAAGGACAAUAUCAGUUGCUAAAUCCAUCCAUGUACAAGAGAUAUUGUCUUCAACAAAGCACAGCUCAUCAUUUAAUAGAAGUUACAAAGUAGUUACUCUAAGAUAAGCAGCU